UACGUAGGGUCCGAGCGUUGUCCGGAAUUACUGGGCGUAAAGAGCUCGUAGGUGGUUUGUCGCGUUGUUCGUGAAAACUCACAGCUUAACUGUGGGCGUGCGGGCGAUACGGGCAGACUGGAGUACUGCAGGGGAGACUGGAAUUCCUGGUGUAGCGGUGAAAUGCGCAGAUAUCAGGAGGAACACCGGUGGCGAAGGCGGUUCUCUGGGCCACUACUGACGCUGGAGAAGCGAAAGCGUGGGGAGCGAACAGG
rnacentral:rRNA from 1 species